UACAGAGGUCUCAAGCGUUGUUCGGAUUCAUUGGGCGUAAAGGGUGCGUAGGUGGCGCUGUAAGUCGGGUGUGAAAUUUCGGAGCUUAACUCCGAAACUGCAUUCGAUACUGCGGUGCUUGAGGACUGGAGAGGAGACUGGAAUUCAUGGUGUAGAAGUGAAAUGCGUAGAGAUCAUGAGGAAGACCAGUGGCGAAGGCGGGUCUCUGGACAGUUCCUGACACUGAGGCACGAAGGCCAGGGGAGCAAACGGG
rnacentral:rRNA from 1 species